rnacentral:rRNA from 1 species
UAGGGAAUCUUCCACAAUGGGCGCAAGCCUGAUGGAGCAACGCCGCGUGAGUGAAGAAGGUCUUCGGAUCGUAAAACUCUGUUGUUAGAGAAGAACAUGCAGGAGAGUAACUGUUCUUGUAUUGACGGUAUCUAACCAGAAAGCCACGGCUAACUACGGGCCAG